UCUCUCUAUUUUAUCGCCCCUCUCCUCUCAUUGUUCCAUCACAAUCUGCACUCACUCUUUUGCAAAACACUCAUAUUCACACUCCCAAAUUUACAAGCAAGUGACAACCGAGAGGUAGAGAGCCAAACCAAUACUCAGUUUCCGAUAACCCUAGCUUCAUCUCCAUACUCAAGAAAUCGAAAGGAGCUCAAGGGAAUUCCCAAACUUUCCUAUCAGCAAUUUUUGUUUUCAACAAGAUCUACCCUGUAUACUUGCAGGUAUUUUUAGUGCUAAUAAAAAGUGCAUCAACAGCCAUUAACGGAGAAUUGAGAGGAUUGAUGGACAGCGGCGAUGGCUGAAUGGCGGCAGCGGCGACAGUGAGAUAAGGUCGCAGAGCAGCGACAACGAGGUGCCUGACUCGGCUUCGGUGAUUCCAGGGUGGUGGAUUGCGAACGGCGAUGGCUUCACACAACCUCCGAUGGAGGGGGAUGCAUUGGGACAGCAACGGCGGCUGAACGACGACCACCCUCACGUUGCAGCGGCGAUUUCCGCCAAGGAGACAGCACCGACGGUGGCGGGAGAGCUGGGACAGCAGCGACGGCGUGAUACCGGCGGCGUAACGUCGUGAGAAGGAAGGCGACGGUACUGUUAAUUGAGAGUGAGGACAGCUCGAGGGUCUUAUGAGCUUUUAGGAGUUACAAAUCUAGGAUUGACGCCCUAGUGUAUGUAAUCUACGUUUGUGCCGUAUGGACAAUAUUUAUGUGACUCG